rnacentral:rRNA from 1 species
AUUGAACGCUGGCGGCAGGCCUAACACAUGCAAGUCGAACGAGUGGCGGACGGGUGAGUAAUGUCUGGGAAACUGCCUGAUGGAGGGGGAUAACUACUGGAAACGGUGGCUAAUACCGCAUACCAUCGGAUGUGCCCAGAUGGGAUUAGCUAGUAGGUGGGGUAAAGGCUCACCUAGGCGACGAUCCCUAGCUGGUCUGAGAGGAUGACCAGCAACACUGGGACUGAGACACGGCCCAGACUCCUACGGGAGGCAGCAGUGGGGAAUAUUGCACAAUGGGCGCAAGCCUGAUGCAGCCAUGCCGCGUGUAUGAAGAAGGCCUUCGGGUUGUAAAGUACUUUCAGCGGGGAGGCGUUACCCGCAGAAGAAGCACCGGCUAACUCCGUGCCAGCCGCCGCGGUAAUUC